AUUUACAUAUCUUAUACAGAGUAUUAUAUUGAAGCUAUAAUUGAGACCUUGUCUGUAAAUA
rnacentral:tRNA from 2 species